rnacentral:rRNA from 1 species
GGCUCAGAAUCAACGCGGGCGGCGCGCUUAACACAUGCAAGUCGAACGAGAAAGUGGAGCAAUCCAUGAGUACAGUGGCGUACGGGUGAGUAACACGUGGGUAAUCUACCUCUUGGUGGGGAAUAACCCUGGGAAACCGGGGCUAAUACCGCAUAAGCUCGGAAGAGGAAGCCCGAAAGGGGCCGAGAGAGGAGCCCGCGGCCGAUUAGCUAGUUGGUGAGGUAAAGGCUCACCAAGGCGAAGAUCGGUAGCCGGCCUGAGAGGGCACACGGCCACACUGGCACUGAAACACGGGCCAGACUCCUACGGGAGGCAGCAGUGGGGAAUCUUGCACAAUGGGGGCAACCCUGAUGCAGCGACGCCGCGUGAGCGAUGAAGCCCUUCGGGGUGUAAAGCUCUUUCGGCCGGAACGAUAAUGACGGUACCGGCAGAAGAAGCUGCGGCUAACUACGUGCCAGCAGCCGCGGUAAUACGUAGGCAGCGAGCGUUGUUCGGAGUUACUGGGCGUAAAGAGUGCGUAGGCGGUGCUCUAAGUUUGGUGUGAAAUCUCCCGGCUCAACUGGGAGGGUGCGCCGAAAACUGGAGUGCUCGAGUGUGGGAGAGGUAAGCGGAAUCCCUGGUGUAGCGGUGAAAUGCGUAGAUAUCAGGAGGAACACCUGCGGUGUAGACGGCUUACUGGACCAUGACUGACGCUGAGGCACGAAAGCGUGGGGAGCAAACAGGAUUAGAUACCCUGGUAGUCCACGCCCUAAACGAUGCAUACUUGGUGUGAGCGAUUCAUUUCGUUCGUGCCGGAGCUAACGCGUUAAGUAUGCCGCCUGGGGGAGUACGGUCGCAAGGCUGAAACUCAAAG